GGGCCCGUGGUCUAGUGGCUUCAUUUGAAAAAAUGUCAUAAAUGACAGCGCCCUUACAAGGCGUUGAUCCCCGGUUCGAGUCCGGGCGGGCCCA
rnacentral:tRNA from 1 species